rnacentral:rRNA from 1 species
AGAGUUUGAUCAUGGCUCAGAACGAACGCUGGCGGCAUGCCUAACACAUGCAAGUCGAACGAAGUCUUCGGACUUAGUGGCGCACGGGUGCGUAACGCGUGGGAAUCUGCCUUGGGUGCGGAAUAACUUCUCGAAAGGGAUGCUAAUACCGCAUAAUGUCGUAAGACCAAAGAUUUAUCGCCCAAGGAUGAGCCCGCGUAAGAUUAGCUAGUUGGUGGGGUAAAAGCCUACCAAGGCGACGAUCUUUAGCUGGUCUGAGAGGAUGAUCAGCCACACUGGGACUGAGACACGGCCCAGACUCCUACGGGAGGCAGCAGUGGGGAAUAUUGGACAAUGGGCGAAAGCCUGAUCCAGCAAUGCCGCGUGAGUGAUGAAGGCCCUAGGGUUGUAAAGCUCUUUUACCAGGGAUGAUAAUGACAGUACCUGGAGAAUAAGCUCCGGCUAACUCCGUG